rnacentral:rRNA from 1 species
UGCCCUGUACACACGGAUAACAUACCGAAAGGUAUGCUAAUACGAGAUAAUAUGCUUUUAUCGCAUGGUAGAAGUAUCAAAGCUCCGGCGGUACAGGAUGGACCCGCGUCUGAUUAGCUAGUUGGUAAGGUAACGGCUUACCAAGGCGACGAUCAGUAGCCGACCUGAGAGGGUGAUCGGCCACAUUGGAACUGAGACACGGUCCAAACUCCUACGGGAGGCAGCAGUGGGGAAUAUUGCACAAUGGGCGAAAGCCUGAUGCAGCAACGCCGCGUGAGCGAUGAAGGCCUUCGGGUCGUAAAGCUCUGUCCUCAAGGAAGAUAAUGACGGUACUUGAGGAGGAAGCCCCGGCUAACUACGUGCCAGCAGCCGCGGUAAUACGUAGGGGGCUAGCGUUAUCCGGAAUUACUGGGCGUAAAGGGUGCGUAGGUGGUUUCUUAAGUCAGAGGUGAAAGGCUACGGCUCAACCGUAGUAAGCCUUUGAAACUGGGAAACUUGAGUGCAGGAGAGGAGAGUGGAAUUCCUAGUGUAGCGGUGAAAUGCGUAGAUAUUAGGAGGAACACCAGUUGCGAAGGCGGCUCUCUGGACUGUAACUGACACUGAGGCACGAAAGCGUGGGGAGCAAACAGGAUUAGAUACCCUGGUAGUCCACGCCGUAAACGAUGAGUACUAGCUGUCGGAGGUUACCCCCUUCGGUGGCGCAG